rnacentral:pre_miRNA from 10 species
UCGUCUCAAGCCACGGGUUUUGUGUCCAUUUUAUUUCCACAUUUAUUUGUUUGUGGAAAUAGAAUGGACACAAAACCCGUGGCUUGAGAC